UACAGGGGGUGCAAACGUUGCUCGGAAUCAUUGGGCGAAAGCGCACGUAGGCGGUUCGUUAUGUCGGAUGUGAAAGCCCUUGGCUUAACCGAGGAAGUGCAUCCGAAACUGGCGAGCUAGAGUACUAAAGAGGAUCGCGGAAUUCCCGGUGUAGAGGUGAAAUUCGUAGAUAUCGGGAGGAACACCGGUGGCGAAGGCGGGUCUCUGGGCCGAUACUGACGCUGAGGUGCGAAAGCGUGGGGAGCAAACAGG
rnacentral:rRNA from 1 species